GAAUGGCAGGCGUGGCCACCCGGGAGGCGGCUGGAGGCCGCGCCCCCUUCCCAGAGUGCCUCGCUGCGGCUCCCCGCGAGAUCCCUUUUCUACCCAGCCCCGCCGGCCUCGGAAGGGGCUCCCGCCAUGGACGGGCUGCGGACUAGCACGGGGCUGUUGAGGCGCGGGAGGUUGAGACGCCGGCGCCAGCCGCAGCCACACAGCGGGUCGGUCCUGGCCCUGCCCCUGAGGCCCAGGAAGAUCCGAAGGCAGCUUAGGAGAAGCGUGGCGUCCCGCAUGGCCGCACUGAGGGCCCAGACGCUGCCCAGCGAGGACUCGGAGGACUCGAGGGUGGAGUCGACGGUCGACGAUCCGGGGGACCCGCUGCCUGGUGGGGCGGCGGCCAUCCCCGAUGCGGCCCGGCGGGAGCCGUAUGGCCACCUGGGGCCUGCAGAGCUGCUGGAGGCCUCCCCCGCGGCCCGCUCCCUCCAGACACCCCGCUCCCUGGUGGAGGCGCAGACCCCGCCGGCCCGCCUGGUGGAGGCGCAGACUCCGCCGGCCCGCCUGGUGCCGGCUUCCGCGCCGCCCGCGCGCCUGGUGGAGGUGCCCGCCGCGCCGGCCCGCGUGGUAGAAACCUCGGCCCUGCUAUGCAAUGCCCAGCACUUGGCGGCCGCCCCUCUGUCCGUAGCUCCCGCCACGCUGUCGGGGCCGCAGGUGGACAGCACGGGCGGGGAGCUGGCCUGGGACUCCCCGCUGCAGCGCGUCCUGGCCGAGCUGAACCGCAUCCCCAGCAGCCGGCGGCGGGCAGCGCGCCUCUUCGAGUGGCUCAUCUCGCCCAUGCCGCCCGACCAUUUCUACCGGCGCCUGUGGGAGCGGGAGGCGGUGCUGGUGCGGCGGCAGGACCACGCCUACUACCAGGGGCUUUUCUCCACCGCAGACCUGGACUCCCUGCUGCGCCACGAGGAGGUGCAGUUCGGGCAGCACCUGGACGCCGCUCGCUACGUCAACGGGCGGCGUGAGACCCUGAACCCGCCCGGCCGCGCGCUGCCCGCCGCCGCCUGGUCCCUGUACCAGGCCGGCUGCUCCCUGCGCCUCCUCUGUCCGCAGGCCUUCUCGACCACCGUGUGGCAGUUUUUGGCUGUGCUCCAGGAGCAGUUUGGAAGCAUGGCAGGCUCCAACAUUUACCUCACGCCCCCCAAUUCGCAGGGCUUUGCCCCCCACUACGACGACAUCGAGGCUUUUGUGCUGCAGCUGGAAGGUAGGAAACUCUGGCGCGUGUACCGACCCCGGGUCCCGACGGAGGAGCUGGCCCUGACAUCCAGUCCCAACUUCAGCCAGGACGACCUCGGUGAGCCGGUGCUGCAGACCGUGCUGGAACCCGGAGAUUUGCUCUAUUUUCCUCGGGGCUUCAUUCACCAAGCCGAAUGCCAGGAUGGGGUGCACUCUCUGCACCUCACCUUGUCCACGUACCAGCGCAAUACCUGGGGCGACUUCCUGGAGGCCGUACUGCCUCUGGCAGUGCAGGCUGCAAUGGAAGAAAAUGUGGAAUUCCGAAGGGGUCUCCCCCGAGACUUCAUGGAUUACAUGGGGGCCCAGCACUCGGAUUCUAAGGAUCCACGAAGAACGGCUUUUAUGGAGAAGGUGCGAGUCCUGGUUGCCCGCUUGGGACACUUUGCUCCUGUCGAUGCUGUGGCUGACCAGCGAGCCAAAGACUUCAUCCACGAUUCUCUGCCCCCUGUGCUGACUGAUAGGGAGAGGGCACUAAGUGUUUAUGGGCUCCCAAUUCGCUGGGAGGCUGGCGAACCUGUGAACGUGGGGGCCCAGUUGACAACGGAAACAGAAGUGCACAUGCUGCAGGAUGGGAUAGCUCGGCUGUUGGAGGAAUCUUCCCCAAACCUGGCAAGUGACUGUUCUCAUGGUUGGUGGAAGAGAGCCUGGUGUACCAGAGAGAGCACGGGACUUGGAGCCAGAAGACCUGGGUUUGGGGUGGUGGCUGGUAGGCCUGAAUGAGCUGAGGCUGCUGCUACACCUGGGCACACAGAUUUUACUUCGUGAUCUCCCUGGUGUCAGAUUCAGAAAGCCUCUUCCUAAGAAGAGCAGUUGUGUGGAGAACGCAAAAAAUAUAAAAACAUUUCCAGAUUACCAAGUUCAUGAUCUGUGGCAUUGCUUAUCAGCCUCAUGCUCUAAUCUGUCACUACCAAAGGUUCUUUCAUUACCUAGUAUUUCCUGAAUGAGACGAUGAAUGAAAUAGUUAUAAGAAGGUGUUGUCUGUGGAGUAAGCAAACUUUCCAGCUCGACGAUUCACCUGCCGGAAGUGGCUCUGCUUCGGGGGCUGGCAGAUGUUCUUCUUUCCUUUGAUAUCCUCAGCAGUCUCAUUGUUGCCAGGCAUAGCUUCAGCUCUCUGCACUUGUGGCAAGUAAUUGGGUAAUCUUAGCAGGAGGAGAGGGAGGAAAGGGAAAGAUAGGAGAUGGACCUCCUGCCUUCCAUCAGACCCAUAGCUCACUCCUCUUUAAGCUCACCUUACAUACACAUGAGCAUCUGGAAAACACCUAUGUUUAACUAUUGGCCUUGUCCCAAAGUGCCAAAUGAAUAUUCAGGCCCGCCAGAAGGGCCUGUCUGCAGCCACCUUCCUCCUCCUCCAGUGGAGCCACUGGGCAGCAUGGUAGAGUGGCCAGGCUCCCAGCAGUACCUUUUUUAUCAUGGUGCCCUUAGAGGUUACAUGGACUUGGGGAAGGAAACCAAUUCCUACAUUACUUCACUUUAUCGUGUGUGUGGCUAUUUAAAGACUGUCAACCCCAGUGAACAGAUCAUAAGCUCCUUAAAGGGUCUCUCGUUUACGUUGUAUUCCCAGCACUUUGCAGAGUACCUGGCAAGGAGUAGGAAGGCAGUUUAUGUUUGUCCAAUAAAUGAACAAAUAGAUGGAUUCCCACUUUACUUUUAGUUCACUUUUGGGAAUCAGAUAUUGUAAUAGCUCUGGUCUUCCCUCGAGCUAUAAGUGAGAAGAAGGCAAUCUGAGAAAUAUGCAGUAAUCAACCCUCAGGUUGUUUAGUUCUCUGUCUAGUUGCCAGUCAGUUUUUGCAUCAGUGACACAGUGGCUCCUUAUUCAAAGUGAGACAGAACCAAACCUCAGAGCCUUGAGAUCUCUGCCUUCUCUCUCUCAAUAUGGAUACAUUUCUGAGAGCACCUAGACAGCAAAAUAGCUCAGUCUGCUAGGAAAGGCCAGGAGCCAAUCCCUUUAAAGGCAAUGGUUCUCAACUAGGAGUGAUUGGGGUCCCUUAAGGGGACAUGUGUCAAUGUCUGGAGACAUCUUUGGUUGUCCCAACUGGAAAAUGCUUCUGGCAUCCAGUGGGGUGCUACUAAACAUCCUACAAGGCACAAGACAGCCCCCCACAACAAAGAAUUGUCCAACCCAGGAUGUCAGUAGUACCUGGUUGAGCACCUUACUUUAAGGAGAUUGUAGAGAACAAGUUGACAGUGGAGAACACAAGAGGUUGGUGGGACAGCAUGUUCUGAAAUAAGGAAUGUGAACCAACCCCGGAGUCCUGGAAGGGGACCCACGGGUUCUCAAAGGUGUGCCUGAGGCCCCAGCCAACAUACCUAUAAUAAACAGGGAGCAGCAGCUCCGGCUUCUCUCUCUCCUGGGUGGGCAAGAUAACGCUUUCAUCCUCAAAUUCUGCUGUUUCUUCUUUCUCUAGCUGUUUCAGUAGCUCCAGAUCGCUAGUGGAAGUAAGCUCAUCCCGGAUGUGGCUCCAGUCGUAUUGCUGGCGAAGAAAUCUCUGCCACUUGUUGGGGGAUACCCCAGGCCUCAGAGGACGUUUGCUCUGGAUCCAUCGGGUGGUGCGCUUGUUCAGCUUUUCCAGCACGAUGGCUUCCCAGGCUCUGGCCUCCUUCUCAGGGGGUGGCAGCCAGGCUUCCCUCUCCUCCAGGUUCAUGUCUGGAGAAAGUGACAGACCUGGCAUGUCUGGAUCCCUGCAGGAAUGAGGGAUGAGAGGGCAAGAUUCUUCCUGGCCCACACUUGCCGGCUUGGAUUCCUUUGGCCGCUUCUUAAGAUUGGCAGACCUUUCUGUCUUCACAGCCUGGGAGGUGACCCUUGCUGAGGGACCUGAAGAAUGCAAGGACUUGAGGCCAGUGGGUUUCUCGCAUCGGGCCCUGCUGAUCUGGGGAGGCUGGAUGAUGUGGCCUGCCUUGUAGAGAUGGUCAAAGUUAUACUGGCUGUAAGGGGUGCUGGGAAGCCCUCGCUGCCAUACCACCUCCUGAGAGAAGGUGAGGUUUGUAGCGGCCAUUUUCAAAUACUGGUUCUUCAGGUGUGCACAGCGAUGUGGGCUAAAGUGGAAGACUGGAGGUACACUGGACACCGAGGCACACUCCUCGUGUUCUGGUUUUGAGUGGGAAAAAUUCAUGCCCCAUCCCAGCCGUGGGGGGAGUGACUGAUGGAAAUGGUGGGAAAGAAGUGUCUUUCCCUGUUGGGUUCUGGUCAUUGUUUCCCAGCAAAAGCUUCCUUCCACACUGCCUGGUCCAGAUGCAGGGCUGGAGGUAUGACCAGAUACCUGUUGAGGGGAUGGGAGGAACUGCUGAGAGCUCUAGGUCAGUAGAAAUCGGUAGCCCAUAGCAGUCCAGAAAGGAAAUAAAUGGGAAGACGGGGGAGCGGGGGGAAGCCACGUGAGUUAAAAGGACAAAAGAGGGGCGCCUGGGUGGCUCAGUCAGUUAAGCGUCUGCCUUCAGCUCAGGUCACGGUCCCAGGGUCCUGGGAUCAAGCCCCGUAUCGGGCUCCCUGCUCGGCAGGAGGCCUGCUUCUCCCUCUCCCACUCCCCGGCUUGUGUUCCCUCUCUCGCUGUGCCUCUCUCUCUAAUAAAUAAAUAAAAUCUUCAAAAAAAAAAAAA